CCUACGGGAGGCAGCAGUGGGGAAUUUUCCGCAAUGGGCGAAAGCCUGACGGAGCAAUACCGCGUGAGAGAGGAAGGCUCUUGGGUUGUAAACCUCUUUUUUCAGGGAAGAUAAUGACGGUACCUGAGGAAUAAGCAUCGGCUAACUCCGUGCCAGCAGCCGCGGUAAUACGGAGGAUGCAAGCGUUAUCCGGAAUGAUUGGGCGUAAAGCGUCCGCAGGUGGUUUUAAAAGUCUGUUGUUAAAGCGUGAGGCUUAACCUCAUAAGGGCAAUGGAAACUGUAAGACUAGAGUACGUUCGGGGCAAGGGGAAUUCCCAGUGUAGCGGUGAAAUGCGUAGAGAUUGGGAAGAACACCGGUGGCGAAAGCGCCUUGCUAGGCCGUAACUGACACUGAGGGACGAAAGCUAGGGGAGCGAAUGGGAUUAGAUACCCCAGUAGUCCUAGCCGUAAACGAUGGAUACUAGGCGUUGUNUGUAUCGACCGGACGAGUGCGUACGCUACGUACGUUAAGUACUCCGCCGUCGGGUAGGUACGCGACGCGAGUGUAGAACUACAAGGAAGUAGACGGCGUGAGACGUGCCGAACGGACGACCGACGAGGGGAGUUAGG
rnacentral:rRNA from 1 species